GACGAACGCUGGCGGCGUGCUUAACACAUGCAAGUCGAACGGUGAAGCGCCUUCCUUUUUGGUGGGUGUGGAUGAGUGGCGAACGGGUGAGUAACACGUGAGUAACCUGCCCCCUUCUUCUGGAUAACCGCAUGAAAGUGUGGCUAAUACGGGAUAUUCUGGGUCUGUCGCAUGAUGGGUCUGGGAAAGAUAUUGUUUCGGUGGGGGAUGGGCUCGCGGCCUAUCAGCUUGUUGGUGGGGUGAUGGCCUACCAAGGCGGUGACGGGUAGCCGGCCUGAGAGGGUGGACGGUCACACUGGGACUGAGACACGGCCAAGACUCCUACGGGAGGCAGCAGUGGGGAAUAUUGCACAAUGGGCGCAAGCCUGAUGCAGCGACGCCGCGUGAGGGAUGGAGGCCUUCGGGUUGUGGACCUCUUUCGCCAGUGAAGCAGGCCUGCCUCGUUUGUGGGUGGGUUGACGGUAGCUGGAUAAGAAGCGCCGGCUAACUACGUG
rnacentral:rRNA from 1 species